CCCUUCAUGACUGAAUGAACAUUACGGAUCACAGUUUAAUCACAUGUUCUGUCUCUCGGCUUUGGCUUAAAUUCUCUGUGGUAUGUCGGAUAUCCAGACUGAACUUUAGCUUUGAGGUAAACCUGUGCUGAAAAUACAUUUACAAGAUGUGUUUUCCGGUAGGCAACACAUCUCAGAAGUAUAAAGAUGGAUGCUCCUACUGUACCUGGAGUGCCAUCCAGUGAGGCCUUUGCUCCAGAGAGAGUCAGCAGGCCUCCUGGUUUCAGAUGGAGCGAUGCAAGAUGACUGGAAAUGGUGGAGGUCCAGACACUCUGUUUCCACAUCAUAUCAGUGUUCUUAUACAAGUCUAAAAUGAGCAAGUGAGAGAGAGAAAGUUGAUACUACUCCAGCAAAAUCAAUUCAAUUAUGAACUGACUGAAAUUUACUAUUAAAAACAACAACAACAACAACAACUUAAAAGUAACUUAAAUGCCUCCUAAAUAUGUAGCAGGCAUGAAGGUCUCAUGUAUCUUUAUGUUGUGAUACAGUAUGUCAGUAUCUACACCCUCUUUGGAACACGGCUGUCUGUCAUUCAUAAAAUUGUAUGAAUCCCC